UACGGGGGGAGCAAGCGUUGUUCGGAUUUACUGGGCGUAAAGGGCGCGUAGGCGGCCUGAUAAGUAGGGGGUGAAAUCUUGCGGCUCAACCGCAAGGCUGCCUUCUAAACUGUCAGGCUGGAGCACGGUAGAGGCAGAUGGAAUUCCCGGUGUAGCGGUGGAAUGCGUAGAGAUCCGGAAGAACACCAGUGGCGAAGGCGGUCUGCUGGGCAGUAGCUGACACUGAUGCGCGACAGCGUGGGGAGCAAACAGG
rnacentral:rRNA from 1 species